rnacentral:rRNA from 1 species
UACGGUGGGGGCAAGCGUUGUUCGAAAUUACGGGGCGAAAAGGGCUCGUAGGCGGCCAACUAAGUCAGACGUGAAAUCCCUCGGCUUAACCGGGGAACUGCGUCUGAUACUGGAUGGCUUGAGUUUGGGAGAGGGAUGCGGAAUUCCAGGUGUAGCGGUGAAAUGCGUAGAUAUCUGGAGGAACACCGGUGGCGAAGGCGGCAUCCUGGACCAACACUGACGCUGAGGAGCGAAAGCCAGGGGAGCAAACGGG